rnacentral:rRNA from 1 species
CCUACGGGGGGCUGCUUGACGUUCACGAUGACCGAGGACCGACUCGAUGGGAAGCAGCACCCACUUUCCGGCCGGCUUGGAAUGCAGGGCGAUGUGUACUGGACCUACUUCUCAGACGACGGCACCGGCCCCGUCUUCCGGUCGCCGAGGUUGGUAAGCCGUCAGGAAUGCCACCAGCCGGUCAGCCGCGCGAUGAGAUCCGUCGACGCCCCCUUGAUCCCGGACAUCUCCCCGGAGUGGCCGCAGCUCAUCGCCCAGCCGCCGUCCACAUUCGUGCUGGGCGCACGGGCGUUCAACGGCCUGGACCGCUCCUACGACCCGCGCGGCAAGCUGCUGAUCGGCACGAUCGACAUCAGCCGGCCCAACCCGAAGUGGGUCUUCAAGAUACCCGUGUAGUC